rnacentral:rRNA from 1 species
GGAGGAAAAGAAACUAACAAGGAUUCCCCUAGUAACGGCGAGUGAAGAGGGAAGAGCCCAAGAUUGAAAGCUGGCGUCUUCGGCGUCCGCAUUGUAAUCUCAAGAAGUGUUUUCCGCUUCGGACCAAGCCUAAGUCCCCUGGAAAGGGGCAUCAUAGAGGGUGAUAAUCCCGUACAUGGCUUGGAGCGCCCGAGGCUUUGUGAUACGCUUUCUAAGAGUCGAGUUGUUUGGGAAUGCAGCUCAAAAUGGGUGGUAAAUGCCAUCUAAGGCUAAAUAUUGGGGAGAGACCGAUAGCGAACAAGUACAGUGAUGGAAAGAUGAAAAGAACUUUGAAAAGAGAGUUAAACAGUACGUGAAAUUGCCAAAAGGGAAGGGUAGGAGGUCAGAGAUGCGGCCUGGGAUUCAGCCUUGCUUUUGCUUGGUGUUUUUCCCAGAUUGCAGGCCAACGUCGGUUUUGGGCACUGGAGAAGGGUAGGAGGAACGUGGCACCUCUCGGGGUGUGUUAUAGCCUCCUACUGGAUACAGCGACCGAGACCGAGGACAGCAGCGUACUCGCAAGAGCGGGCCUUCGGGCACCUUUACGCU